UCUGUCCAUGACAGAUGCACGCAUCUGAGAAAAACACCUAAAACCGAGUUGAUUGAAGGUUGUAAACUUCAUAUCUAGGGUUUACCCUAUUUCCAAAUCAGACGAUCGACUCCAAGGUUUGAAGAACUAGAAUCGAAGCUUGAUUUAAGUUUUGAUGUGAUGGAACCAACAGGAGAUUCUAAUAGUAGGUCACGGGACAUUGCUUCAUGGCCUAGUGCCGUUUCUCAUUACAUGUUGGAGUGUAUAUUGAAGCAGUACAAGAGUGGUAAGGGUGGAGAUAACGGACUGAAAAAGGAGCAGUUCAUUGAAAUUGCCAACCAACUGAAAGAGAAAUUAUUUACUAGUUACGACUGUGAACAAGUGAGAAACCACUUCCGGAUUUGGAAGCAAAGGCUUAGAGCAUUAAGUGACCUACAGAAGCAAAGUGGAUUGGGUUGGAAUGCAUCUGAUAUGAGAUUUGAUGCUCCUCAACACUUCUGGAAUGAUUAUAGG